AAGGUCAUAGCUCAGUGGUAGAGCACCUGCUCUUCAUCCAAAAGGUCCCAGCUUCAAUCCUCGGCAGAUCCUGGUGGUGUUG